AGAGUUUGAUCCUGGCUCAGAACGAACGCUGGCGGCAUGCCUAACACAUGCAAGUCGAACGAUUGCCUUCGGGUGAUAGUGGCGCACGGGUGCGUAACGCGUGGGAAUCUGCCCUUAGGUUCGGAAUAACAGCUGGAAACGGCUGCAUAAUACCGGAUGAUAUCGCGAGAUCAAAGAUUUAUCGCCUGAGGAUGAGCCCGCGUUGGAUUAGGUAGUUGGUGGGGUAAAGGCCUACCAAGCCGACGAUCCAUAGCUGGUCUGAGAGGA
rnacentral:rRNA from 1 species